GUCUGGAGCAGCCCUGUGAUUCAAUCACCUUCAUUAGCUGACCCACAGCAUAAGAGUAAAAUAUUUGCAGACCUAACCAAUUAUUAGUUCUCCUACAAUUUACCCAUGAAAAUAAAACUAGGUAGAACAGUGCUUAGGCAGAGUAAUGCUAAGAAUAAAACUAUGUUACAACUUUUAAGAUAAUUUGAUAGUAGGUUUUCUUUCUUUUCUGACUCAUAAGCAUUAGGCGGGUACCAGUUCUGUUAGGUCAUUGUGCCCAGACUUCUGCCACAACAGGAUUACUCUCUAGGAUGUUCUCAGUUGCUUUAUACAAGCUCAAAUCAAAACCAUGCUCUUAUUAUUCCCCAUGGCAGACAGAUGAGAAUUCAGCUAACAGUCAAGCAGUGGAAAAGAAGACUAAAGAGAAUUAUUUUCCUUAACUAAAUAUAACACAUAAGGACUGUCCUGCAAUUUUGACUACAGAUUUAUUUGCUUCACCUACUGAUUUGGUCUAGCUUCUUGGAGACACAAGAAAAAUAAAGCUUGGCUGCUACAAUGAAGGUGCUAUAACUAGAUUUACAUUAGCAAUGAUUGCAGCAAUGCUGUUGUGUGGAGUGCUGACAGGCACUAUUAAAUUAAAACUCCAUGCCUAUUAGAUGAGACUCCAGCCACCUGCCAAGUAUGUGUGGAAUCAUGAAGUGGACAGAAGUCAGAUGUAUCCCAAGUAUGUACAGAAAUAGCAGGUGGAUUUUACCAUAUCUCCUGCUCCUCUUCUAGAGCCUUGUAAAGAAAACAUUUUUUCCUGAAUGCUUCCAACAUGUAAAUGUUGCACUUUGUACAUAGCAGCAAACCUCUUGUGAAGAAGCUCCCCUGCAUCUACAGUAUUGCAUUUUAACCAUGUUGAAACAAUAAAGAAAUAUCACAUCUAAAGACUGGUCUACACUACAGUGUUAGGUUGAUGUGAGCCACCUUGUGUCAGCCUAGCUGUGGAAGUGUCUUCGCUCAAAUUUGUCUCCCAUUAUUCUAAGUGCCUCUCUAUGCCUAUUUAGCAAUAUCACCUCCCCAAGCAGGGGAGAGUCACAUUUGAUGUAAUUAGGUUGAUGCAGUGUCAGUGUAGACCAGGGAUAGUUGAUUAU